rnacentral:rRNA from 1 species
AGUGAACGCUGGCGGUAGGCCUAACACAUGCAAGUCGAACGGCAGCACAGUAAGAGCUUGCUCUUACGGGUGGCGAGUGGCGGACGGGUGAGGAAUACAUCGGAAUCUACUUUUUCGUGGGGGAUAACGUAGGGAAACUUACGCUAAUACCGCAUACGACCUACGGGUGAAAGCAGGGGAUCUUCGGACCUUGCGCGAUCGAAUGAGCCGAUGUCGGAUUAGCUAGUUGGCGGGGUAAAGGCCCACCAAGGCGACGAUCCGUAGCUGGUCUGAGAGGAUGAUCGGCCACACUGGAACUGAGACACGGUCCAGACUCCUACGGGAGGCAGCAGUGGGGAAUAUUGGACAAUGGGCGCAAGCCUGAUCCAGCCAGACCGCGUGGGUGAAGAAGGCCUUCGGGUUGUAAAGCCCUUUUGUUGGGAAAGAAAAGCAGCAGGUUAAUACCCCGCUGUUCUGACGGUACCCAAAGAAUAAGCACCGGCUAACUUCGUG